GCCUUGCAUUAAAUGCUUGCUGUUAAAUGUUUAAUAGCAAGUGCUGUGUACACAGAAUGGGGAGUCCAGGAGUUGGUUAAGAGCAGCAAAGAAACAGAUGCUUAACUAAGUCUUCAUAAAUUCUGUCAUCCCAAUCUCCCCAAAUAUUGCUGAUGUUAUAAACAAUAAUGUGAAGAGAAAGAAGGAAAUGAAAUGUUAAACUAGGAGUCCUACUUUGCCUACUAAGAGGGGUAAAAUAAUCCUCUGUUUUUGUUCUGUAUAAGAGGGGCAGGGUUUUGAUUUUUGUUUUUUUUUUUUUUUUCUCCUUCCAAUGCAAGUGCUUUUGUGCAAUCAUGAUUGAUACAAUGUAAAGAACUAUGGCAUUCUUUUCAUAUUUAUGUGGAUUGCAGAGUAUGGAGAAAACUCAUUAGAUUGGGAUUCCUCUCCUAGAAAGAAAUUAUCUGAAUAUCAGUAGCCAGUAGCUCAACUGCAGCUGUGUUUUAGUUAGGAAUUUUUUUCAUUUCUUGUACUAGGAUAUUGUGGGGCUUUUGUUUUUGUUUUUUGUUUUUUCGGGUUUUUUUUUUGACAGUGGUUGGAAAGUUUUCUUAGCAUGUUGGUGUUCUUGCUUCAGUUCCGGCACAGGUCAGGAACGCUACAGAAGGGAAUAACUGUCAGGUAAGUAUUCAGUGUCUAGCUGAAGUGAUAUGCCUCUCUUCCUGCAGUUCACAGCGGACAUCAGUUAUUGGGAAAGUGGUACUCUCCUUGAAGGUCUCAGAAAGGACACAGAGGCCUGAAUCAUGUACGAAAUACAGGCUCCAAGUUGCCGUUACCUUGGUCUGUUUCUACCCUCAAGUCCAGGCAGGUGCUUUGCUGCACAUUCAGAAGACCAUCAGGACAGCCAAAGUGGCAGCUGUCACUUCUGCAAAAGCGUGGGGGUGUAGGGCCAGUGCAUGGGGAUUUGGACAGCUCUUUGGAUGAUGCUGAAACGGCUCAGUUCACUGGACUUGCAAAAAAUCCUUUGAGCUUGUAAUUUCA
rnacentral:lncRNA from 1 species